CACAUCAAAACCUAAGAACCAAGAGCAUCUUCUUCCUUCUCGCCAUUUUCAGAGAAAAUGGUUGAUUUCUUGCUUGGACUCUGCUACAAUUGAUUAAUCUUCUUCCUCAUUCAAUCCAUUGAUUUUCGAGUGCAAUCCUUGUAAUCUUGAUAUGAAGUUCCAAAGAAUUCAGCCCUAGCAUAGCCUCCUCCUUUGAAGCUUUCCUUCGAAAAAUAGCAAUGGCGGGAUUCGCACCUUCUUCCUCUUCUUCUUCCUCCAGAAAUUUCGAAAUCUAGGGCAUAAACCCUUUCCUUUUUCGCACAAUAGGGCAAAGCAAGCCUUAAUCAUCUUCUACAUUUGGUUUUCGCAGGAGACACCGCAAAUCUUGCUUGCCUUCAUUUCAUUGAACGAAUCAAUGGGUUUCCCUUUCGAUUGUUUGUGUCAAAUUAAGAAUCAAGCCAUGGCCGUCACAGACCUGAUCUUUCUGAGAAACAAGACGGUGAUGGUCAUUCUUCUUUCCUCUGACUAAUUCUUCAAGCAAACAAUAGCAAGCUUCUUGUUCUUGGUCUCUAGAACCGUAAAUCAAGGGAAACGAUUUCUCUGCGCGCUCUUUCUAGUUGGUAGCCGCGAAUCAAUCACGGCUCUUUGAAGCGUCUUGUUGUUUGAUUACAGAUCGGAACCAGUCGAGAACGAUGGGUUAGCGGUGUUUAAUAGCGUUCCAAGGAUGCAUAUUGAGCUGAGCACGUGGAAAUUUGUAGUUUUGUAUUAGGUUUUUGGAUAAAUGUAUAUUAGUCUUGGUAGUGUUGGUUAUAUGGGAAUCGAAGUGAAUUGUAUGAUUACUUGUGUUUUAGUUAGAUGUUUGGUUUGAGAAUUAGCUGAGUUAGUUACGUUGAAAAGCUGGUGUCCCCUUUGCUCAAGUUUUGAAAGUGUGAUUUAAGUUUCUUGGGAAAUGAACCCAGUGAUGACCCUGUUUACUCAGUCAACGGUAAGUCGGGUUGUUACACUUUCUCCAACAACUAUUUUUUCAUUCAUGAAGUAUUUUAAUUCUAUUAAAAUACAUUUAUGCUCUUUGACUAAGUUUGUGAUGGUUGAAUUAGAGUUGUUGGAACGUGCCUAUAUAAAGUUGGUGUUUCAUCAUUUUGAAAAUAUACAAUUUCUCAUCUCUUUUUCUAUUCACUUGUGCAAGAGUGGAAUUUGCUCCACACCUCAAGUAGUAGGUGUACAUUACUUUUGCUGGGUGUGUUGACCUUGGGAAAGUCCCCUCUUUUUACACUUGGGAUCGUCAGAAUUAACAUUCUUAAUGCAACGACAAGUUCGUGUCACACCAUACAUUUCGUUAUCAAACACAUGCUAAACACAACUCUAAGCACAUUUUUCAUAUACAAAUGUUAUGCGUAUCAUUAUUAAUAAUAUGGAUUAACAAUUGUAGUCAUAAGAAGAUUUUGAGAAGACUUUGAAUUGGUCUAUAUUUCCAACAAUUUAAUAAAAUUAUUAUUAUUUUAUGGCUUAUCUAGUAUAUAAUUUGAGUAAUUUGCAAAGAGGAAAGAUAAAUUAUUGGUGCAAUUGAGCAGGGGCGUAUCUAUAUAUGGGCACCCCUGGCACGUGCCGGGGGAAAAUUUUAAAAAAAAUCGAAAAUCAGGAUUGAAUGGGCGCGUGAUUUUUCAG